rnacentral:lncRNA from 1 species
AGAUUGUAUGAUUCUGUCCCUGUGAAGUGCGCAGUAAGUCCAGAGAAAAAGGAGCGUGCUGUUGCCAACGGUGGGGAGCGGGCUUGGAAGGUUUUUCACCUGGCUAACAGACUCCAUCCAGUGAUCACCUGUGGAGCUGCUGAACUCCGGACUUGCUAAAAGCUGAUGUUAACCAGUCCAACUGAUGUGAUGGCUCCUCGUCUUUCAUCUGGAUAAAGCUAAGUAAAUGCUUCUAAGAAACGCCCCAUUGCCUAGCCUUCCUGGGCCCCUUGGACAAGGUCCUAAUGUCAACAGUAAGCAGUUACAGAAGGAAGAUAUGACAUCUGUCCAUUAUCCCACCUUACUGGCUGAAAUGCUGAGUCAAACAGGAACUCCCCCAGGCCCACUCAGAAAAGGACUCCACUUUGUCAUCCUGACCACCCCAUGGCCACGAAAAUAGAUGGGAUCCAAUCCUGGAUUAAUCGCUCUCUUCUGAAGUUCACCACCCCCUUCCCCAAAACAUCUGGAUCCCAGCAAUGGGUUGUUAGACAACACCCACAGAACCCGUUAAAAAUCAGACAGAUAAAAGAUUCCAGAGGUUUGCUUUCUAUUUCAUGUUGCCUUGGGCUGCUGAGGGACAUGCUCCAGUACAACACACAUGAACAUCGAUUAGAACUACGGACGGAAGCCUAAAUAACAUUGCUUAUGGUUCCCCCCGCCCUCACGUUUGACGUAUGUAAAUUGUUUGGGCCAAAAUGGAACAGGUGCCCAAAGGCCACAAACAUAUAUGUUCCCUCAUUCUCUAGGUCUUUGGAUAUAGGAUCCAGAAUAUGGAAAAUACUUUGGCCACCCUUCAGGUAUAUGCCUGCCCCUCAGUUGAAGACCCUGACUUGCAGGGGACAUGGUGUGUGCUUUUGUGAUAUGUGGGGCGAUAAAGCAUUAGCUUCCUGGGUAACUGAUAAAGAUAAGUAUAUUCAGCCACAGAAGGUUGAGUCAGUCUAGAAAACUUGGGAAGACCAACCCCACUCAAAUUAAGAUAAAAAUGAUACAAAUGAUUUAUGAGAUACAGGGUAGAUUUGGGGGCUCCUCCUUUAUGCAUCUGGUAAUGACCCUGGGAUGAUAUUCACCAUCCAGAGAGUCCAGGUCACUAGGAACAGGGUCUUAGACAUCAGUGGUUCCAAGAGAAUGUUAAUGCCCUCUCCCUGUCCUAGAAAGGACAAGGUCUCUCUGCUUAUAUAAGAUAUCGGUCUCAGUACCUGCAACACCGUAAUAAUGUACAGAUGCUAAUGCAGGAGUUUCCCCUUACUCUUUAGUACCGCCAAAAGGCACUUGGUUUGCUUGUGCCUUGGCACUGACCCCCUGUAUCAGUCCCUUUAGCAUCACUGAAACUUCUGAAUUUUGCAUACUUGUACAUCUGUAGCCUCUGGUACAGUAUUAUCCUGGAGAAGGAGGUUAGGGACACCUGGGACUUCUACACCAUUCCCAGAUGGCCAGGGCAGUGCCAACACUAAUAAUGCCUUUCCUAAAAAGCAUGAGCAUAGCAAGACCUACCAGCAUGAGAGAAGCAACACUUAUGAAGGGAGAUCAAAAUGUCAAACAUUUAAGCCAACAAAGACUGAUAUAAAAGUUUGUCCUCCUGGCCUCAGAAAAGAAUUUUUUUUUCUGAGACAGGGUUUCUCUGUGUAGCCCUGACUGUCCUAGAACUCACUCUGUAGACCAGGCUGACCUCAAACUCAGAAAUUUGCCUGCCUCUGCCUCCCAAGUGCUGGGAUUAAAGGCAUGCGCCACCACGCCCAGCAUCAGAAAAGAAAAAUUUUGAGUCAAUGAUUUGACUCAUUGGGACAGCUCAAAAAAGGGUGGAAUGCUAUGGUUUGACACCUCCCCCUCCAAGCAUAGCUGUAGCCAUUUUGUACCAUGCCUGUCAGCUAUUUCAUAUUGUUGCUGUAACAUGCCUGCCAGAUACACAGAAGUGACUUGGCUCAAGGACAUACUGACCACAUACUGUUUUGUUCUGUAUGUUCUGAAUGUGCGGUAUGAGUUUUGCUAAUCUUAAGAAAUUCCACAAAGCUUUGUGUAGGACCCAUCAAAUCAAAGGACAAUUUGAACUGUUAUGUCUGAAAUCACUUGAGUCAGAGCUGACCACCCGGCAGUACUUCCUGUGUGUGAACUCACUGUGGCUUUUGUGGUUUUAUCCUUUGUGAGCUGACAGGAAAAGAUAUCUGUUGUCAUAGUUCUGAUAAUUCUGGGCUCUGUUCCUGAUCUGACCAGUAUUAAAGUGCAGUCAAUAAC